rnacentral:rRNA from 1 species
GACGAACGCUGGCGGCGUGCCUAAUACAUGCAAGUAGAACGCUGAAGAGAGGAGCUUACUCUUCUUGGAUGAGUUGCGAACGGGUGAGUAACGCGUAGGUAACCUGCCUUGUAGCGGGGGAUAACUAUUGGAAACGAUAGCUAAUACCGCAUAACAAUGGAUGACACAUGUCAUUUAUUUGAAAGGGGCAAUUGCUCCACUACAAGAUGGACCUGCGUUGUAUUAGCUAGUAGGUGAGGUAAUGGCUCACCUAGGCGACGAUACAUAGCCGACCUGAGAGGGUGGUCCGCCCACCCGGGACUGAGACACGGCCCAGACUCCUACGGGAGGCAGCAGUAGGGAAUCUUCGGCAAUAGGGGCAACCCUGACCGAGCAACGCCGCGUGAGUGAAGAAGGUUUUCGGAUCGUAAAGCUCUGUUGUAAGUCAAGAACGGGUGUGAGAGUGGAAAGUUCACACUGUGACGGUAGCUUACCAGAAAGGGACGGCUAACUACGUG